rnacentral:rRNA from 1 species
UGGUCCUAGUGAUCUGAUUACUUUUCAUAAUUUUCAUAUGAUAUGGUAAUUAUUUAAACGUG